rnacentral:rRNA from 1 species
UGGGGAAUAUUGGACAAUGGACCAAGAGUNUGAUCCAGCAAUUNUGUGUGCACGAUGAAGUUUUCGGAAUGUAAAGUGCUUUCAGUUGGGAAGAAAGAAAUGACGGUACCAACAGAAGAAGUGACGGCUAAAUACGUGCCAGCAGCCGCGGUAAUACGUAUGUCACAAGCGUUAUCCGGAUUUAUUGGGCGUAAAGCGCGUCAUAGGUGGUUAUGUAAGUCUGAUGCGAAAAUGCAGGGCUCAACUCAGUAUUGCUUUGGAAACGGUAUAACUAGAGUACCGGAGAGGUAAGCGGAACUACAAGUGUAGAGGUGAAAUUNGUAGAUAUUUGUAGGAAUGCCGAUGGGGAAGCCAGCUUACUGGACAGAUACUGACGCUGAAGCGCGAAAGCGUGGGUAGCAAACAGGAUUAGAUACCCUGGUAGUCCAUGCCGUAAACGAUGAUUACUAGGUGUUGGGGGUCGAACCUCAGCGCCCAAGCAAACGCGAUAAGUAAUCCGCCUGGGGAGCACGUACGCAAGUAUG